rnacentral:ribozyme from 1 species
CUUUCUCUUUCUUCUUGUCAAUUUCUUCUUCCCGUUGCCCCUCUCUCUCCCUCUCCCUUUCUUUCCUUUCUCCCCUCUUUUUAAAGAAGAAAUGAAGAGCUUCCUUCUCCUUUCUCUCCUCCUUGUUGGAGUUGCCUUUGUCGCUGCUGACAAUGGUUGUUUGGAAACCUCUGGAAGAUGGUGUGAAU